rnacentral:rRNA from 1 species
UAGCUUGCUGGGUGGAUUAGUGGCGAACGGGUGAGUAACACGUGAGUAACCUGCCCUUGACUCUGGGAUAAGCCUGGGAAACUGGGUCUAAUACUGGAUAUGACUGCUCCGCGCAUGCGGUGGUGGUGGAAAGCUUUUGCGGUUUUGGAUGGACUCGCGGCCUAUCAGCUUGUUGGUGGGGUAAUGGCCUACCAAGGCGACGACGGGUAGCCGGCCUGAGAGGGUGACCGGCCACACUGGGACUGAGACACGGCCCAGACUCCUACGGGAGGCAGCAGUGGGGAAUAUUGCACAAUGGGCGAAAGCCUGAUGCAGCGACGCCGCGUGAGGGAUGACGGCCUUCGGGUUGUAAACCUCUUUCAGUAGGGAAGAAGCUUUCGGGUGACGGUACCUGCAGAAGAAGCGCCGGCUAACUACGUGCCAGCAGCCGCGGUAAUACGUAGGGCGCAAGCGUUAUCCGGAAUUAUUGGGCGUAAAGAGCUCGUAGGCGGUUUGUCGCGUCUGCUGUGAAAGACCGGGGCUCAACUCCGGUUCUGCAGUGGGUACGGGCAGACUAGAGUGAUGUAGGGGAGACUGGAAUUCCUGGUGUAGCGGUGAAAUGCGCAGAUAUCACGAGGAACACCGAUGGCGAAAGCAGGUCUCUGGGCAUUA